CCUUAUUAMUGCAAGUCGAGCGAACAGAUAAGGAGCUUGCUCCUUUGACGUUAGCGGCGGACGGGUGAGUAACACGUGGRUAACCUACCUAUAAGACUGGGAUAACUUCGGGAAACCGGAGCUAAUACCGGAUAACAUWUUGAACCGCAUGGUUCAAUAGUGAAAGGYGGCUUUGCUGUCACUUAUAGAUGGAUCCGCGCCGUAUUAGCUAGUUGGUAAGGUAACGGCUUACCAAGGCAACGAUACGUAGCCGACCUGAGAGGGUGAUCGGCCACACUGGAACUGAGACACGGUCCAGACUCCUACGGGAGGCAGCAGUAGGGAAUCUUCCGCAAUGGGCGAAAGCCUGACGGAGCAACGCCGCGUGAGUGAUGAAGGUCUUCGGAUCGUAAAACUCUGUUAUYAGGGAAGAACAAAUGUGUAAGUAACUGUGCACAUCUUGACGGUACCUGAUCAGAAAGCCACGGCUAACUACGUGCCAGCAGCCGCGGUAAUACGUAGGUGGCAAGCGUUAUCCGGAAUUAUUGGGCGUAAAGCGCGCGUAGGCGGUUUUUUAAGUCUGAUGUGAAAGCCCACGGCUCAACCGUGGAGGGUCAUUGGAAACUGGAAAACUUGAGUGCAGAAGAGGAAAGUGGAAUUCCAUGUGUAGCGGUGAAAUGCGCAGAGAUAUGGAGGAACACCAGUGGCGAAGCGACUUUCUGGUCUGUAACUGACGCUGAUGUGCGAAAGCGUGGGGAUCAAACAGAUUAG
rnacentral:rRNA from 1 species